rnacentral:rRNA from 1 species
ACGCUCGACACCUACGGAGGCAGCAGUGGGGAAUAUUGCACAAUGGGGGAAACCCUGAUGCAGCGACGCCGCGUGAGCGAAGAAGUAUUUCGGUAUGUAAAGCUCUAUCAGCAGGGAAGAAGAAAGACGGUACCUGACUAAGAAGCCCCGGCUAACUACGUGCCGGCAGCCGCGGUAAUCUGAGCGGGCUGGCAAGGC